rnacentral:rRNA from 1 species
GAUGAACGCUGACAGAAUGCUUAACACAUGCAAGUCCACUUGAACUUCGGUUUGGGUGGCGGACGGGUGAGUAACGCGUAAAGAACUUGCCUCACAGAUAGGGACAACAUUUGGAAACGAAUGCUAAUACCUGAUAUUAUGAUUAUAUGGCAUCGUAUAAUUAUGACAGCUAUAUGCGCUGUGAGAGAGCUUUGCGUCCCAUUAGCUAGUUGGAGAGGUAACGGCUCACCAAGGCGAUGAUGGGUAGCCGGCCUGAGAGGGUGAUCGGCCACACGGGGACUGAGGCACGGCCAUUACGCCUACGGGAGGCAGCAGUGGGGAAUAGUGGACAAUGGACCAAGAGUCUGAUCCAGCAAUUCUGUGUGCACGAUGAAGUUUUUCGGAAUGUAAAGUGCUUUCAGUUGGGAAGAAAAAAAUGACGGUACCAACAGAAGAAGUGACGGCUAAAUACGUG